rnacentral:lncRNA from 1 species
AUUUCUCCUCCCAAAUACUCCUGCAACUCCCUUCUUACAAAUAUCUAUCAUAAAAGAUAAUAUCUUUAAAGUCAAAUAAUUUAUUUAAGCCAACAACAUCUAAUUUAAAUCUUGUUCAAUUUACAAAUUUCUUAGCAUCUACUUCUAUUCAAUCUCUGCCAAAUGACGUCUUACAAAGUAUUGAUAUGUAAUUGAAUACCACACUCAAAAAAAUGUUUUAAUAUUUUUCUAAAUUUUAUUGGUCAUAGCUCCACAAUUAUAUCAUGGAUUCUUUUCAACCUAGGCUUAUUUGAUAGCUAUAAAAGAGUCAUUUAUUUGCUAUACAAACCAAAUGUCA